GCCCCUAUAGCUCAGUGGUCGAGCAAGCGACUCUUAAUCGCCAGAUCUUGGUUCGAUUCCAAGUGGGGGCACCA
rnacentral:tRNA from 1 species